rnacentral:lncRNA from 1 species
UGCAGCGAAACUGAACCAUGCGCAGACGUGCAUUUGAGCAACAUCAAUCUUAGAUACACUGGAGCAAACCUAUUCAAGCUAUCGUCUGAAGCUGAAUCUGAAUCUGAAUCUGAAACACCCCAGUCUGCUUGCAUAAAUGUUCUCUCCCCAAUCAUCAGUGACAAUGUGUUCCCUAAGGCUUGCUUUUGAAUCAUAAAAAUCAAGGGAGAAUUCAUUCUUUUGGUAGAACAACAAUAAGAUGCAAAAAGAUUAACAUUUUCUUCAAAGAUGGAAAACAUUAAUUCAUAUGUAUUUAUAUAUACAUAUAAUAUCUAUAUCUAUGUAUGUAUGAAUUAUGUUCAUUAGAUGAUAUUUAUAUAACUAUAUAUAAUAUAUAUAUAGUAGAAGGUUGUUAUGUAUGAUCAGACAAACAGAAUGAAUCAAUAUAUAUAGAAAGGUGAAAGAUCAAUUGCUUAAAAACUUUGUAUGUCAUAUUCGAUUUUCAACUUAUAUAUUUGAUUCGUUGAUAGACACACGAUCGACUAUUCAACAAUCUCAUAGGAUAUUUAAGACUUAGAAGAGAAUGGUCACCUUAGGCUGAAGAAUUGGGGAAGAACGAUGGUCCAGGACGGUUGGGCGAAUUUGAACCCGGUCCAAGUAUAAAUAAACUUAAAAGGAAGAUCGUCUGACCUAGCCGUUACAACGAAUUUGAUGUAGUCAUAUCUUACAUGGUCUAGGAGCCCAUUUCCUAUAGAGAAGGCCCAUUAUCAUCCAGAAUGUACCCAGGUACCUUGAUAAUCAUCACUUGGAAACCUAAAUCAUCACACAUGUCGUUUCCAUAUAUUUUCUUCUUGAAAUUAAUGCUCAACAGCUUUUGCUGAAGAUCUUUCCGUAUCUCGGAUUUCAAUGCUUCGAUCAUCGUCCCUAUCUCCACCAUUUCCGAACAUGUUUGUUUUUUGCAGUUCUCGGGAUCCGCCUGAACAGCUUCGUGUCUUGAGAGUUCAAUCUCUAAUACUUUUACUUUGGAUUUCAGGCUAAUCAACUCUAAUUCUGCAAUCUCUAACGAUGAUCGUAGCUCCAUCAACUUGGUCGAUGCGAUUAACAUCGCGUGAUUCAACUGCAAUCCUUUAUGAUUGCAAAGCUUCCUCGAUGUUUCUCUAGAUCUUUACUCUCCGUCUACUUUUGUACAAACUUUCCCAUUUCUAUUUUUUUCCUUGUUUCAGAGAUUUCCAUUCUCGGAUUCUCGAUCAAACCCUCCAUUGCAAUGACUUUCUUCUCCUAUUUCUUGGUAUUCUCAAGCUCGCUUCUUAGAAUCUUCAUCUCUUUUGGUGACUAUACUCCUAUCCUUUCCAUCAACAGAAACUAAGGUUACGUUCGCUUUAUACUAGACCCUUAGAAGUCUCCCAUGGAAUCGGAAUGAAAGGUCUUUGUCGAGACCCAAGUCAACCCCUCAAAUCGCCUAUUGCGUUAGGUUAAUCGCUGAUUCUGGGAGAAGGUCGUCGAAGUCCAGGAAACUUGGUAAUUUCUCCCAGUAAUCGUCGGUUCCACCCUAAAUCGUCGAUUCCAGAGGAGUUACUUGCAUCUAACCUGACUGCUUUAAUGGCUCAGACGUGAUCUCCAUCGCAGAUGUCACCCGUCGAGGCCUUAUAAAAGGUGACCUUUCGAGGACAUCUAAGGCAUCAGUUCCAACAUUUUCAGAGCGAUAAUUAAACACGGAGCAAUGGUCGAUUUGCUAGCUUAAAUCGCCGAUUCUCUCCAGAAGAUCGACUUGACAUAGAGUGGUUUUUGUGGAUUCCAGAACCUCCGACACAAGAAGAUAACCACUCGUACCGCCGAGAGUACUGGUGGGAUAUUUCAGUCUUCAUCAGCUGGCACCAUCUGUGGAAAACUCGGAAUUACCGAUUAGUUAUCUAUCACCGAAGGUCUCUGAGUGCGAAGCUCUGUCAAAAAUACCUUAGUUCACAAAUCGUCGAUUUUGACUAGUGUAAUUGCCGAAUUUGGUUGGGUUUUUGGAGACUUCGUCAAGUCACUUUGCGCAAUCGUCGGUUUCGUCAUGAAACCAUAGAUUUGUACUUUUCUCUCGACAUGGUUGAAUCGAAUUUGACUAAUUUAGUCACCAUGGCUCCUUUGACCAAAAGUCUAAAGGUUGUUGUUGUUGCCGCCGCCAUUGAGGCCGCAACUUCUAGCAAGAGGGCUGGUUCAACAUUAUACGAGCUACUCAUGCACCACUUCCGUCGCAAGACACCGAGUUACCCCCACCACUCCCGCCAAACUGUGAAGUGGCCCCACCACUCCUGCCAAAUAGUAGAGUGGUCCCACCUCUUACUAUUCAAUAAAGCGACACUUUCUACCAACGAAUCAUUCACAUAGCUCAAUUGGAUUGAAGUUGGGAAGGUUCUGCCUGUCCGAUUAUUGAGUGCCCAAGCUGAUGCGCCUUGUGCGUCAAAUAUCCCAUGCCCGGUUAGCUUGAAGCCCUCAAGUCUUGCAAAGACUAUCCAAUGCAUCUUUGGGUACACAGUUAGAUUUUUAGAAGCCAAAAUUAUUCCUUCAUUUUCAAAGAUAAUCCUUCGUUUGGAUGGUCCGUAGAAAGACAUUGAACCAGUGAAAUACGUUCCAAAGGAACGGAAACUUGAGCCAUUCCUUCAUUUUGACAAGCAUCUUUCCAUGCGUUCAUAAAAGCCUAUAUAUAAAACAAAAUAAAUAUUAAUCAAUCCCAAUAUUCCAUUGCUUGAUUUAUAGAUAAAGAUAUUCUUGUCCAAAAGUAGAGGGUUCAAAUAAACCGAGCCUAAUUUGGGUGUUAGAGCCAAGCUCGGGUUCGUUAUGAUUUUAAUUAGGCUAGGAUUCGAGCUCGACUCGAAGCCUAUUUUACAAAGCACAAGCUCGGUUUGAAAUCUGGACCUAAACUUGGUAAAAAACCUAUUUUACAAAGCAUGAUGAGCUCGUCUUGAAUCCUAAGUCCAAAAGCUAUAUAAUCUCAAAUUUUACAGUAGUGAUAACUUGAACCAAUUCAUGUUUUAUAAUAAUUUAUCUAGCCAACCAAAAAUUUCUUUAUGUAUAUUUAAUGAAAAUACAUAAGCUUAUCGAGCCAAGCUCGGCAAUUCAAGCACUUGCUCGGCUAGUUAAGCUUUUAGGUAAAAUUUGUAACCUUAGUCACAAAUCAUGAACAUCAAUAUAAAAAAAAACUAUUUGUGUACAAACAUGUGAGGAAUCAUUAACGCCAUCAAAUUUGGCACCAUAGUCGAUCACGUCGAAGUAUCUCACAGCACCGACAUGACGAAAACCCGCAAAUGCAAACAAAUAGAUAAACAUAAAAAGUGUUUUAGAAAAAAGAUUUUUAUGCAUAUCCAUUUUUCUUCUGAGAUCUUUGAAGGCGAUUAAUAAUAUGAGUUCUCAGAUCAUGUGUUUUGAUCAUUUAUAUUUCAUUUAUGGUGCUUUUAAUAAAAAAAUAUCAUUUAUGGUAACAAAAUGAAAGGUUUAUAAUUUCUAAGCUGAAUUAAACAAUUACUUAAAAUAAACAAGACAAAAAUACUAGCGAUCAAUUGGAAGUCUGGAACGAUAGGUUGUCAUCGAAAAGUGACGCAUAAGGUAUAUGACAGUAGUGGACACCAUUGAAUAUCGAACUACAAGAAAUAAAACUUUGACGUUUGUCGUUUAUAUUUGAUUUUUUUUUUAAUUUCCAUCAACUAUGUGAGUCACCUUUGAAGUUUGUCGCAUAUAAUAUAAAGCGAUAACUUUUGUGACCAAUUUUAAGAUGAAAGUGACCAACAGUUUGGUUGCCUGGCUCUUUAAAAAAAAUACGAUCAAUAUGUUGGUCGCCUAUAGAUCACUAGUGACGAGGUUUCUUGCGACUGACGUGGCGACCAAAUUUUUUUUCCCACAAGCGACCAACUUUUUCCUAUAAAUUUUGGUACGAUCUCUGCAAAUUAGGUACAAAACUCGAUGAUUUUGGUCUAUUUUUUGUAAACACGUCACGAGAGAAAUUUGGAAAAGAACUAUUUAUUUUGGUAAAUCAAGCUCAAUAAUGUUUCUACAUUCAAGAUUCAUUCAAAUCUGACUGAAGUUGUGUUUAAAAUACCAAAUAAAAAUAUUUUUGAUGUCGAUAUUGACGAUUGUAAUUAAAUUUUAAAAAUGUAUAUUUGAAUUAUAACGAUUGUAAAUGUUUUCAUUUUGAGUAAAAAAAAUGAAUCAACUACUUGCAAUCGUCGAACGAUUUGAGCGACUUAACCGGAUUCAACAUAGUUUUCAGAAAAAAAUAUAGAUUAUUCAUGUCGUGUUUUUGUUUGUUUUCGUUACGGAGUAAACGGUCAUCAUAUUAAUGACUGUUAUAAAAUAUAAACGAGAAAUCCUCAAUAAAUGGAAAUUGGUAAAAUUUUAGUCUUAAGACACGAAGCAAGGGUGUUGAAUGAUUGUGGAAAUACACAUUCAUUCAAAAUCGAAUACAAUUCUUCUCAUGAAGACUUUGAAGAUAUAUUAUGCAUGAUAAUAAAAUUUGUAAAUCACAAUAGAAAAAUUUUUUGGUUAUUGUGUCAGACUAAGAUCUCUUAUACAGGUGUUUGGGUAUGUAUUUGACUAAACUUAUUUUCUUUUGAAAUUAAUUUUAAUUUCUCAGAUUAUGUUUAGCACGUUUUUUUUAUCUUCAUCGAUGUUAUGAUUACAUCGCGUCGUUCACUAGAUGACACAAAUUCAAGUGGUUAGUAUAUUUCUUAUAAUAUAUAUAGUACGUAUACACCACAAAGUUAAUUAUUAAUUUUCAAUUAGUUGUAUCAUCCACAUCCGAGAUGCACGAAAGACUACCCCCAUAACCAUCCUGAAACAGGUACGAAAUGGUUGGUCAUGUUCAACAAUACGAACCAAAGCUACAGACGAAAUAGCAAAUAAAUUGACUACAUAGAUGGUCCACUUAGUAAAAGACCAUACGCUAUUUUCGUACGACGUUGAGUGACGUCAUUAAAAUCCACAUAACUUUAAAGACGCGUUGAAAAUACUUACUGUAAAUAUAUAUAUAUGUAUGUAUGUAUGUAUGUAUGUAUAUAUGUGUUUAAUUAUUUUUCAAAACUCAUAUGGUUUUUAUAUAUAGGAUAAGUAUGACUUGAGUAAAAGCAAAAUCGCACAAACGUAUAUCAAUACUAAGUUGAAUAAGCUUUGGAGGAACAACAACAAUUCGUUGCUGAAAAUAUAUGACAGAAAUUUAAAUAUGACUGAAGUUGAAAUUCUUGAAACCCUUCCACCUUAUAUCAGCAAACCUCAAUUUUUAAAUAAAAUAAGAUAAGCAAGAUUUGAGAGAAGAUAGGAAUGUAUAUAUAUAUUUGAAAUUACAAAUUCUCUAGGUUAAUUUUCAUUAUUUGUUUAAAAUUUUAGAAAAUUUCUGAGAUAAAUUUCACAAAUCGAUCGAAUCAUUUGACACAUCACGCUGGUUCAAAAGGAUCAAAACAACGGCGUCAUGAAUUGGUAAUCAUAACAAAUUUAUAUUUAAAUUAAUCAAAAACUAAUUAAUCAUGUUUAAUAUAAGGAAAAUAAGGAAUGAAUGAGCCUGAUCUUGAUCAUUAACAAUGAUAUAUUACAAAAACAAAAAAAUAGUAAGUUCUUUUAUUAUUUUAUAAAUUAUCAUUUGUAUUUUGUAUUAUUUAAAUUUUAAUCUUUAUGCAGCAAAAAACCACCGCUUUUAUUAAAAAUGAUGGGAGAAAAUCUUAGGCUGAAUCUGACAUCCUUGAUGAGUUUAAUUGUUAUAUAUAUAUAAGGAAAUUAUCAGGUACAAUAUUGUUAUUUGCGAUAUAUACGCCAUCUUCAAUCAUAACCGUCCGUUUGACAUCUGACGGCUUUCAUUCUUCACGGUAGUUCUACAUAUCUAGUGUAUGACGCCAGAUCCAGAUCUCGAGGUGUUUUUUUUAAUUACGAGUUACACUGUUUUAUUUUGUGUGUAAUACUGACUUUUAACUUAAAUUGAAACAGUGUUAUGUCUUUUUUUUCAAAUAAAUCUCGAUAAAAAUAUUUUUUUUGUCUCCUAUUUAAUACUCGACUUGACUAAGUUAUUUAAUGUGUUGUACGACACAUCAAACGUCCACUAUUCCACAUGUCAAACAUCCUUCUAAAAUGUUGUGUCAUAUAUAUCUUCAUCCAUAUCUCACUCAUAUGACUUCCUUUCACUCCCAGUCCAUCCAUUUCUAUCCAUUUUUUUCAUUCUCCAAGCUCGAUUCAUCUCUAAGGUUAGUUCUUCUAUAUUUAGUUACUUUUUUUAAUUGUCGAAGUGAUUUCCGCUAGCUUGUCAAUCACCACGACCGGCCUAUGUAGGGGAUGUCUUCCCGACACUGUCAAAAGGUGCCCGUACGUCACUUCCUACCUCAGACAUACUACUUCAAUCAUUGUAAUAUGCACGUCAUCCUCUAUAUAAAUAUGGUCUUCCUACCUCCGUUAUCCUCAAGUUUCAUUUCAUCUACCUCUUUCUUCUCGUCGGAAAAUGGCUGAUCCUUCUAUCAUCAUUCUUUCUGAUGAUGAAGAACACAUCAUUCUUUCUGAUGAUGAAGAAGUCGUCCCUCACUACCAACCACCACAACCGGAGUUGUCCCUUAGCUAUGAUGAAUGGUCGACGCAAUCUUUAGAUGAUACCUACGAUUCUGAUUCGUCUAUGACUGUUGAAUCACAAAUGCCCACCGAAUCCCAUAUUAGCAGGACGUCUACAUUAUGUUAUUGUUUUACUUUUCCGUUGCAAUAUAGUACUUAGUUGUAAGGUUUAGUUAUUCUUCUUUCAUUCAAUACGUAAUAUAUUGUAGUCUCCCGUAGUCGUUAUCUAUCAAUGGACGUGUAUUAAUUUCCACAUCUCUUUAUGUCUAAUGAAAUAUUUUAUUUUCCUAUCACUGUUUUUAUUUGAAAUUUCACUACCACAACUGCAUACUUGACAGAAGGACCCCAAAUUAUUUACCUCGUCCAUUCCUUAACAUAAGGACCCCAAAUUUAUCAAAUUACAUUUCUAUCAAUUUCAAUGUUAUAAAUUUAGCAAAUAAUCAGUGAAUGACACUUCCUCAAUUGACAAUAAAUAUUUGUUGUGGAUUAUCACUAAAAUUAACAUAAUCGUUAGGUUUAUAAACAAUUUUGAUGUUGUAAUCUGUAGUUUUACUUACCUGUAGUUGUUUACCUCUUAGGUCAGACGUAGUACUAUUUCUUUUUCUGUCGUAGUUUAAAAAUCGUAUCAGAUGUCAUACUCUAUAGUUUAAUGGUUAUAUUGUAGUUUCAAUUCAGUUGUCAUGCAGUUUAGUUUAAUUUUGUAUUACGGAGUCCAUAUUUGUUGACGUACUAUUUACAUUCAGAUUAACAAUGACCCACAAUAGAUACUUCAUAUUAACAAUUACCUGAAAACAUUUUAAAUCAAACAUGAAAUUCAAAUUCAAAUUCAAUUAUUAUAGUUUGAAGUACUUCAAAAGUAAUCAGUACAGCCCUAAAAUAAUCCCUAAAAAUAAGAUGGUAAGAAAUUUGUCAAAAUAAGAACCACAAACAAUGUAGAAAUGGUUCUAUUUCUACUUUUGGUUUAGAGAAAUUCAAGGGAAAUCAAUUGAUGGUUGAAAUGGUUUUGGUGACAAUAUAAAUUGCACCCAAAUGAUGAAGAAUACUCAAGCCACAUAAUUCAAACUCACAACAAUAAAAGAAAAAUAAAAGGAUCGGAAAAUGGGUGUGAUUUCAGAUCUCCUCUUUGUCGUCUCCCAUUUGUUUGUGCUCUUUGCAUUUGUCAAUGUACCGAUUGCAAGCGCUCAAAGUAUCUUCAAUGUUAAAAGAUAUGGGGCCUUAUCUGACGGAAAAACUGAUUCCAUCCAGGUAGAUUAAUUUUUUUCACGAUUGAUGGUACCCCAACGCCAGAAUUAGGUUGUGGAGAGAUCAGGUUAAGAAACCAGGCCGCCGUAGGGGAGAUGUGAUCCAUAAGGGCUUCCCCAACCCUAAUUAUGUUCUAUAAAUAGUAAAUCAUACCACUGUAAUAAGAACCUUUUGCCAUUUUAUCUGAUCAAAUUACCCUAGAAAUGAGUGUGAUUGAUCGUCUACCGAAAUCCCAAGAGAUCUGGUAUCAUCAACAAUAUAUAUCCGAGGAUAUCAAAUAUUCCUAUAAAAUUAACAAGUGUGCAUUUAUAAGGUAUAAUUUUCAUGAUCUCACUGUCUAGAAUUUGAUUGAAGGCUUUUGAAGAUGCUUGGAAAGAUGCUUGCGAAUCUGAAGAACCUUCAACCGUUUUAGUUCCGGAAGGGGAGUUUCUUGCUGGUCCAUAUGAAUUUAAAGGACCUUGCAAAAGAAGAAUUACCUUCCAAGUCGAUGGGACGGUUAUUGCUCCCACAAGUCCAAAUGCAUUCACAAGAAAAAAUUGGAUCAUGUUUUCAUACAUCGACGAGUUCAAGAUGAGCGGUCACGGUAUAUUUGAUGGCAUGGGAAAAUCAACAUGGGGACAUAACGAUCGUUCUGGAAUGACAUUCCCCACUGUGAGUUGAAUUGAUCAGUUUUAUUAUAUAUAUUAAUCUGAAUGAAGGUUUUUGGUAUCUUAAUAUAAUGCCUGCAUCCAUGCCAUGGCAGUCUCUCCAAUUUAGCUUCAUGAACAACUCCAUAGUUGAAGGUAUCACAUCAAAAAACAGCAAGAUGUUUCACAUAAUGAUCUUGGCUUGCAUUGACAUGAAAGUCAGAAGAUUGAAAAUCAUUGCUCCAGAAGACAGUCCAAACACUGAUGGCAUCCAUAUUGCUCUCUCUACCAAUGUGGAAGUAACACAAACACAAAUCGGCACCGGUGAUGAUUGCAUCUCCAUCGGACCAACCAAUAAUGGUAUCACCAUCACUGAUGUGGAAUGUGGUCCAGGACAUGGUAUCAGCGUCGGUAGUCUCGGAAAAUACUCUUCGGACAAGGAUGUUUCCAAUGUUUUAGUGAAGGACUGCAAGAUUACCAAAACAACAAAUGGUGUUAGAAUCAAAACAUGGGAGCAUUCGUUCCCUAUGACAUGUAGAAACUUUACCUUUGAAAACAUCAAAAUGGUUGAUGUCUCCAACCCCAUCAUCAUUGAUCAACACUACUGCCCUACCCACAAUUGUGGUCAACAGGUAUAUAUCCAAUAUAUAUAUAUAUGUAUGUAAUGUUAUCGUAUGUUUUAACAUUGUUGCAUGUGCACAGACUAAUUCAAAGGUGAAGAUCAUCGAUAUGAAGUUCAAGAACAUCGAAGGAACAUCAGAAACACCACUUGCUAUUAAUCUCAAAUGCAGCGAAACUGAACCAUGCGCAGACGUGCAUUUGAGCAACAUCAAUCUUAGAUACACUGGAGCAAACCUAUUCAAGCUAUCGUCUGAAGCUGAAUCUGAAUCUGAAUCUGAAACACCCCAGUCUGCUUGCAUAAAUGUUCUCUCCCCAAUCAUCAGUGACAAUGUGUUCCCUAAGGCUUGCUUUUGAAUCACAAAAAUCAAGGGAGAUCUUUAAUAGCAUUAAUAUAGCAUUAAUUCAUAUGUAUUUAUAUAUACAUAUAAUAUCUAUUUCUAUGUAUGUAUGAAUUAUGUUCAUUAGAUGAUAUUUAUAUAACUUUAUAUAUAUAUAUAUAGUAGAAGGUUGUUAUGUAUGAUCAGAUAAAUAAAAUGAAUCAAUAUAUAUAGAAAGGUGAAAGACCAAUUGCUUAAAAACUUUGUAUGUCAUAUAUAUUCGAUUUUCAACUUAUAUAUUUGAUUCGUUGAUAGACACAUGGUCGACUAUUCAACAAUCUCAUAGGAUAUUUAAGACUUAUAAAAGAAGGGGAGCAAGGAAACCUUAGGCUGAAGAAUUGGGGAAGAACGAUGGUCCAGGACGGUUGGGCGAGUUUGAACCUGGUCCAAGUAUAAAUAAACUUAAAAGGAAGAUCGUCUGACCUAGCCGUUACUGUAAAAACCCUCAUGAAAUUAAAGUAAAAAAAUAAAUAAAAAAAAAUUAAAAGGAGUCUUGUUGGGCUAAAUAUGCACUAAGGCCAAUCAAGCCAUUAAAUCAAGAUGUGGGGACAUGAGCCCUAAUUAAACUAUUAUAUAAUGGGAAGAUGUAGAGGUCUAGGAGGAGAGGAACGGGUGAGAAGGAAAAGAAGAGAAGAGAAGGAAAAGAAGAGAAGAGAAAAGAAAAGAAGGAAAGGAAAGAAACCAAUCGAUCUUAAGGGGAGAUUUCGAUCUUGGUGCAGAGGUUGUGAGCUGAUCAAUAUGGUAUGAGUUUAGAAUAUGUUCUUAUGAUUUUCUGUAAAUCUUUGGGGUUUAAGUAGUAUGAUUCUAUUGAUAGAUAGAAAUAGAAACAGGAUUAGGUUAUGUGUUAUAUGAAAUAGUUGAACAAGUGAUACAUAGAUAUCCAUUGAAGAUGGGAUGGAUUGAUAUAUAGAUGGAUUAGAGUAUGACCAUUUCUAUAAAAAAUCAGAUGAUAUUUAGAUAUUGGAGUUGGAUCCUUUCUACUGUUUGGUGUUGCAUUUUAUUUAGAAUUAAAUUUGCUGGAUUUAAUCUAAUUCUAUCAAAUUUUCAGAGAUUUGAAGGUGGGUGUUGUUGUCAUGAUUUUAAAGAUUUUAGAUAUUUUUAUGAUUGAUUUCAUAACUAAUUCUUCGAAGAUUCCGUAGUGUUAUUAUCUUAUCCUUGUGAUUGAGAUUGAUUGUGUUUGUUCUCGAGUAUUGUCAUUUAUUCUGAUUUGAUUUUUAUUUUGAUUCGUUUAUUUUUUUAUUAUUCCAGAGUUGUCGGGAGUAUUAUUAUGUGAUGAUUUAAUCCAAAAUAUGGUAAGUUUGUACUGUUUUGAGAAGGGGGAGUGAAGUAUAUUUUUUUUUGGAUUUUAUUUGACAUUGAAUGAGGGAUUAAGGAGUCAUGAGUAGGAGUUUUCUCGGUCUUUUUAUUUUAUGUUUUCAUCGGUAAAAAUUCUGUUUUGAUGUUAAGUUCGAAGGAUGACGAUGUUGAAUGAUAUUAUGAAGGUCUAUAAAAUGAUAUAAGAAACACGAUAUGACAUGACAUGAUAUGACAUGAAUCUCAUGAUGAGAUGAACAAUAUGACAUGAAUCUCAUGAUGAGAUGAACAAUAUGACAAGAAUUAGGCUACAAAUAGUCGUUAAAUAGUUUGUUUAAUUGCAGUUAUUGAUACUUUUAUGGUUGUUUAUAGGUGAUAAGAAUGAAUACUGGUAUAUUAUUCCUUAUGUGGAAUUUUAAGUAUAGAUUUCCAUACUGAGUCAGUUGAGACUCACCCAUUUUGCUUUGCUAUGUUGUGUCGUGUUAUAAAAUUUAUAGGAUGGGGACGUUGAUGAAGCCACAUUGCAUGGAUACAGGAGGGUGGAGCAGAGUUAACAUCAGGAGUAGUGGUGCUUCAUCCUGAUGAAUAUUAUGAACUCCGUUGGUGCCUGUUUAUUAUUUAUAAUAAUGUUCUAGAGUUUUACUAGUAAAUGAUGAUGUUCUGGACUUUAUUCACAAAUUUUGAACUUUUAUUUUAUUAACAUAUUAUUAUGUUGAUUCUCGAUAUUAGGGAAAGUACAACAUGUUUGUUUGUUUUCACCUGAUGGUUUAAAUGUUCAGAUUGAUAUUAUUAACAUCUCUCUUAUCGUAAGAGGAUGUUACAAAGUGGUAUCAAAGCCAAACCCAAGAACCCACGUGGUUCUCGGGAUAUCCAUAUUCGGUACAUCGUUGGCUAAUUUGACCAAGUAUGCAUUUUUUGACUGACUACUCUUGAAUUAUUGUAGAUGGCCGGAGGAUGAAGGGGGACACCAAGAGCGACACCAAGAGCACUAAGACCAAGUAGGGAGGUAUCCUUUCAAGAUUUCAACAAGACAAACCCUCCCAUCUUUACGGGAAAGGAAACUCUCGACGAGGUGGAGAGUUGGAUUGAUGCCAUUGAGACUAGUUUUGAACUACUGGAAUGUCCGGAGAAGAGAAAAGUGAUCUUCGGGACAUAUAUGCUACGAGAGUUUGCAAAGGCAUGGUGGAGGAGUACUAAGGCGCUCCGAUUUGAGGUUGGAGAACAGAUUUCAUGGUUAGAGUUCAAGGGGGAGUUUGAGGCCCAAUUCAUCCCACCACACUUGAAAGAAGAGGCUCAGGACCAAUUCUGUGAUUUGGUACAAGGCAACAUGUCUGUGAAAGAGUAUGCUGGGGAAUUCUUCCAUCUUGAGAGACACUUUACUACGUUAUGUGCGAAUGAAGCUGGAAGAGUACGCAAAUUUAUUUCAGGGCUUCAAUAUGGACUUCAAACCAAAGUGAUGGUUAGCCAACCUGACACACUUCAUAAGGCAGUGACAUGCGCAUACACUAUGGAUGAAGUAUUCAAGAAGGGGUCAAAUAAGAGAAGGCAGCUAGAGGAGGGUCCGAGUAAGAAACCUAGAACAACCGAGAAAGUCACCCCAACAACAGUGAUUGGUGGUAACACAUGUCAGAUGUGUCACAGGUAUCAUCCGGGGAGAGUGUGCUAUAAGAUUUCUGGAGCAUGCUUCAAGUGUGGAGGCAUGGGACAUCAACUUAAGGACUGCCCAGGUCGUACUAAUGACGAACAACGUAAGAAAGUCACGGCAAAGGCUUUUGCCGUUACCAAUGAAAGUACGGAGAAUUCAAAUGAGGUGGUGACAGGUAUGCAUUGGUUUAUCAUCAAAUAUGGUCAAUUAGUUCAUAAUUAUAAUAUAUUAGUAAUAAGUACAUGCAACAUGUUAUAUAUGCAUAUUAAAUAUACAUACAUACAUAUAUAUAUAACUAAAAGGUUUUCCCUAACUAAGAAACAUGAUAAGGGUAAAGGUUAGACAAGCAUGAAUUUAGAAUAGGAACUGGGUACAUAAAAUGCUAACUAAGAACUACAACUACAGGUGUCGGACUGAUAGAGGGACAUGUAGCACGAGUGUUAUACGAUUCGGGAUCGUCACACUCAUUUAUUUCGGAAUUAUUUUCUCAAGUACUUAAAAGAUCGAAGCAAAGGUUGAGUUACGAGCUUCGAGUAUCUACCCCAUUAGGAGGAAUUGCGAAAAUGGGACAAUAUCUUUCGGGAGUUGACAUCAACUUAGGAGGGCAUGAGAUGAAUGCUGACUUGAUCAUACUUGCAAUGAGUGAUUUUGAUGUCAUUUUAGGAAUGGACUGGCUUAGCAAACACUAUGCAACUAUUCAUUGCAAGGAUCGAAAGGUAGAAUUCUUCCAAUCAGGAUUAAGAAGGGUGGUACUACAUGGGGUAAGAGACCCAAACCAUAGACCGAUUGUCUCUGCCAUGGGAGUGAACAAAAUAAUCCAGAAUGGUGGUUACGCAAUACUAUACCAUCUUGAAGUACCAUCAAAACUAACCAUCGAUUUGACAGAUAUUGAGGUGGCCAGAGAGUUCACAGAAGUGUUCUAAACAGAAUUUGGAUUACCACCACAUCGAGAGACUGAGUUUUUCAUUGACAUCGUGCUAGGUAGUGAACCAAAAUCAAAAGCUCCGUACCGAAUGGCACCAGCAGAACUUAAAGAUCUAAAGACACAAUUAGAAGAAUUGUUAGAUAAAGGAUUCAUUCGACCAAGUGUAUCUCCAUGGGGAGCUCCGAUAGUAUUCGUGAAGAAGAAAGAUGGGUCAAUGAGAUUAUGUAUAGAUUACAGAAUGCUCCACCAAGUUACGGUGAAGAAUAAGUAUCCACUACCUAGAGUCGAUGACUUGUUCGACCAACUUCAAGGUGCAUCAGUAUUUUCAAAGAUUGACUUGAAGACGGGGUACCAUCAAUUGAGGAUUAAGGAUUCUGAUGUAUCUAAAACAGCUUUCAAAAGUCGAUACGGACAUUAUGAGUUCUUGGUGAUGCCAUUCGGAUUAACUAAUGCGCCUGCAGCAUUUAUGAACAUGAUGAACCAUGUUUUUCGAUCCUUCCUAGAUAAAUUCGUUAUUGUUUUUGUGGAUGACAUCCUGGUAUACUCGAAGGAUAAGACUCAACACAAAGAACACUUACGACUAGUUCUGGCUACAUUGAGACAAAAUCACUUAUACGCUAAGCUAUCAAAAUGUGAAUUUUGGUUACACACCAUCCACUUCUUGGGCCACGUAAUCACCAAGGAAGGAGUAGCAGUCGAUCCAGAAAAGGUAGCAACAGUGGAGAAAUGGUCAACUCCAAGGACAGUCAUUGAAAUCCGAAGUUUCUUAGGUUUGGCAGGGUACUACCGUAGAUUCAUAUGUGAUUUUUCUCGGAUUGCAUUGCCACUAACAAGUCUAACUCGCAAAGGGGAGAAAUUUAUAUGGAAUAAAGGAUGUGAAGAAAGUUUUCAAGAACUAAAGAAGCGCCUGAGUUAAUCACAAAUACUCGCCCUACCUAACGGAGGCGAAGAUUUUGUUAUCUACUGUGAUGCAUCAGGAACUGGAAUAGGAUGCGUACUAAUGCAGAAGGAUCAUGUGAUAGCCUUUGCGUCAAGGCAACUAAAAAUACAUGAAAGAAACUACCCUACACAUGAUCUGGAACUAGCGGCGGUAGUAUUUGCGUUAAAGAUUUGGCGACAUUAUCUGUAUGGGGAGAAAUUUGAGGUGUUCACAGAUCAUAAAAGUUUGAGAUAUAUUUUUACACAAAUGGAGAUGAAUAUGAGAUAACGACGAUGGAUUGAAUUCUUGCAGGAUUAUGAUUUUGAAAUGUUGUAUCACCCUGGAAAGGCAAAUGUUGUUGCGGACACGCUAAGUCGAAAAUGGGAAGGGAUAGCCGCAAACAUGAUGCUACAUGAGUGGAAACUAUUAGAAGACUUUGUAGAAUGGAGACCAUUUGAGAUUCCAGAGAAGAAGGCAAUAGUAGCUAGUUUGAAAUGUGGGUCUGAAAUAACUGAGAAAGUUCUUGAGGCACAAGGGUCUGCAACAGAACUGCCAGAUAUGUUGGAAGCGUCAAAAAGGGAGAAUUCAGAAUUGAGGAUAACAACAGAUGGCGGUGUGAGAUUUCGAAAUCGUCUUUGGGUCCCAGCGAUAGAGGAUUUGAGGAGAGAAGUCUUAAAUGAGGCUCAUCGAUCGAAGUAUAGUAUACACCCUAGGAGCAUAAAAAUGUGGAGGGAUCUCCAAAAGAACUUUUGGUGGAAGGGAAUGAAGAAGGACAUUGUCGAUUUUGUUUCAAAAUGUUUGGUAUGUCAACAAGUCAAAAUCGAACAUCAAAGACCAGCAGGAUUGAUGCAAAGAAUAGAUCUGCCAACAUGGAAAUGGGAACAUAUAACAAUGGAUUUUGUAGUCGGGUUACCAAAGACACGAAAGAAUCAUGAUGCCAUAUAUAUGGAUGAUUGUAGACCGACUUACGAAAUCAGCUCAUUUCCUGCCAUACAAUGUCACUCAGUCCUUAGAAGAAUUAGCUAAGUUAUAUAUCACGGAAAUUGUCAGACUGCAUGGGAUACAUAUAUCAAUUAUUUCAGAUCGAGAUGCUCGUUUGACCUCACGAUUUUGGAAGAUCCUACAGACAGAAUUUGGCUCGCAAUUACGAUUUAGCACAACAUUUCACCCUCAAACCGAUGGGCAAUCAGAAAGGACCAUCCAAACAUUGGAAGAUAUGCUUCGAGCAUGCGUACUGGACUUUCAAGGAAGUUGGGAGGAUCACUUGCCGCUAGUAGAAUUCUCAUAUAAUAAUAGUUAUCAUUCUAGCAUCGGAAUAGCACCUUAUGAGGCACUUUACGGAAGACCUUAUAGGUCACCAAUAUGUUGGGAACAGGAUGGGAACCAUGAAAAUAUGGGACCAGAACUAGUGAGAGAUACGGUCAAACAAAUUGAGAUGAUUAGAAAGAGAUUACUAACGGCACAAAGCCGACAGAAAAGUUGUGCUGAUAGAAGAAGAAAAGAGUUAAGUUUUGAAGUAGGAGACCAUGUAUUUCUCAAAAUAUCACCAACGAAAGGAGUGGUACGAUUUGGGAUUAAAGGGAAAUUGAGUCCUAGGUUCGUUGAACUGUUCGAAAUACUAGAGAGGGUUGGGAAGGUGGCGUAUCGGCUUGUGUUACCACCUAAACUUAACCGAGUGCAUAAUGUCUUCUACAUCUCAAUGCUACGGAAAUACAUCCCAGACCAGAGCCACAUAAUUCGACAUGAUAACAUCGAAAUAGAAGAAGAGUUGUCUUUCGAGGAACCACCACUCCGGAUAAUAGAGAAAAAGGAACACCGACUACGUCGUAAAGUUAUAUCGAUGGUGAAGGUUCAAUGGAAACACCACAAAGAAAGUGAGGCUACAUGGGAACCAGAGGAUAAGAUACGAGAACUAUACCCAGAUAUACUCGAUAAAAGCCAGGAAUAAGAAGAAAGGAAAAGAAAAGAAAAAAAGGUACAUAUUCAUGUGUGAUUAUUAUGUUAUCUUUAAUGUAGUAAUGGCCAAAGAUAAGGAGGUUAUAAAAUAAAAAUAAAUAAAUAAAGCAUUGAGAUGGGCGGGCAUGUGACUUAUUAAUAAGAGUGACGAGUUUAUCAAAGAAAUUUCGGGUCGAAAUUUUUGUGAGGGAGGGAGGAUGUAAAAACUCUCAUGAAAUUAAAGUAAAAAAAUAAAUUAAAAUAAAAAUUAAAAAAAUUAAAAGGAGUCUUGUUGGGCUAAAUAUGCACUAAGGCCAAUCAAGCCAUUAAAUCAAGAUGUGGGGACAUGAACCCUAAUUAAACUAUUAUAUAAUGGGAAGAUGUAGAGGUCUAGGAGGAGAGGAACGGGUGAGAAGAGAAGAGAAGAGAAGAGAAAAGAAAAGAAGGAAAGGAAAGGAAAGAAACCAAUCGAUCUUAAGGGGAGAUUUCGAUCUUGGUGUGGAGGUUGUGAGCUGAUCAAUAAGGUAUGGGUUUAGAAUAUGUUCUUAUGAUUUUCUGUAAAUCUUUGGGGUUUAAGUAGUAUGAUUCUAUUGAUAGAUAGAAAUAGAAACAGGAUUAGGUUAUGUGUUAUAUAAAAUAGUUCAACAAGUGAUACAUAGAUAUCCAUUGAAGAUGGGAUGGAUUGAUAGGUGGAUUAGAGUAUGACCAUUUCUAUAAAAAAUCAGAUGAUAUUCAGAUAUUGGAGUUGGAUCCUAUUUACUGUUUGGUGUUGCAUUUUAUUUAGAAUUAAAUUUGCUGGAUUUAAUCUAAUUCUAUCAAAUUUUCAGAGAUUUGAAGGUGGGUGUUGUUGUCAUGAUUUUAAAGAUUUUAGAUAUUUUUAUGAUUGAUUUCAUAACUAAUUCUUCGAAGAUUCCGUAGUGUUAUUAUCUUAUCCUUGUGAUUGAAAUUGAUUGUGUUUGUUCUCGAGUAUUGUCAUUUAUUCUGAUUUGAUUUUUAUUUUGAUUCGCUUAUUUUUUUAUUAUUCCAGAGUUGUCGGGAGUAUUAUUAUGUGAUGAUUUAAUCCAAAAUAUGGUGAGUUUAUACUGUUUUGAGAAGGGGGAGUGAAGUAUAUUUUUUUUUGGAUUUUAUUUGACAACGAAUGAGGGAUUAAGGAGUCAUGAGUAGGAAUUUUCUCGGUCUUUAUAUUUUAUGUUUUCAUCGGUAAAAAUUCUGUUUUGAUGUUAAGUUCGAAGGAUGACGAUGUUGAAUGAUAUUACGAAGGUCUAUAAAAUGAUAUGAGAAACACGAUAUGACAUGACAUGAUAUGAUAUGAAUCUCAUGAUGAGAUGAACAAUAUGACAAGAAUUAGGCUACAAAUAGUCGUUAAAUAGUUUGUUUAAUUGCAGUUAUUGAUACUUUUAUGGUUGUUUAUAGGUGAUAAGAAUGAAUACUGGUAUAUUAUUUCUUAUGUGGAAUCAUAAGUACAGAUUUCCAUACUGAGUCAGUUGAGACUCACCCAUUUUGCUUUGCUAUGUUAUGUCGUGUUAUAAAAUUUAUAGGAUGGGGACGUUGAUGAAGCCACAUUGCAUGGAUACAGGAGGGUGGAGCAGAGUUAACAUUAGGAGUAGUGGUGCUUCAUCCUGAUGAAUAUUAUGAACUCCGUUGAUUGCUGUUUAUUAUUUAUAAUAAUGUUCUAGAGUCUUACUAGUAAAUGAUGAUGGUCUGGACUUUAUUUACAAAAUUUGAACUUUUAUUUUAUUGACAUAUUAUUAUGUUGAUUUUCGACAUUAGGGAAAGUACAACAUGUUUGUUUGUUUUCACCUGAUGGUUUAAAUGUUCAGAUUGAUAUUAUUAACAUCCCUCUUAUCGUAAGAGGAUAUUACAGUUACAACGACUUUGAUAUAGUCACAUCUUACAUGGGCCAGGAGCCCAUUUCCUAUAGAGAAGGCCCAUUAUCAUCCAGAAUGUACCUAGGUACCUUUAUAAUCAUCACUUGGAAACCUAAAUCAUCACACAUGUCGUUUCCAUAUAUUUUCUUCUUGAAAUCAAUGCUCAACAGUUUUUGCUGAAGAUCUUUCCGUAUCUCGGAUUUCAAUGCUUCGAUCAUCGUCCUCAUUUCCACCAUUUCCGAACAUGUUUGUUUAUUGCAGUUCACAAAACUUAAGAAACUUAGUUAAGAAACUUGUUCUACAAAACUUAAUUCAUCUUAAACAUAUAUAUAUAUAUAUAACAGUUAGAAGAUCUAUUCACCAAGGUUGUAAACCAUGAUAUUUGAUGAGGGUAGAACUCGAUCGAUACUUGGGAACUCUUCGGAUCGUCGAGGCAGAAACUCCUGUCUGUAAGAAUAUAUGAUUAUAUUGUGAGUUGUCAAUACCCACAAUAAAAUCGUAUAUUCAAUACCCACAAUCAAUAGGUUGUCAAAAUAUAUGAUUAUAUUGUGAGUUGUCAAUACCCAUAAUAUAAUCGUAUAUUCAAUACCCACAAUCAAUGGGAUGUCAGAAUAUACGAUUAUAUUAUAUACCCACAAACAAUGGGAUAUACAUAACUAAUUUAGAUCUUUAAUUAUGGUCAGAUUGUAACAUAAUUAUAGCAACUUUUCGUAUAUAAAUAUACAGGUCUCGAUGAAUCAAUCAUUAAAUCAUCUUCUCCCAACGUUUUAUUCUUCUUUCUAUUCCCUCUUAUCAUCCUUUUCAAGGGAAGGAUGGAUACUUCUCUGUUUUUUGAUACGAAGCGGGUAGACAUGGCUGGGAUAAUAGAAGAUCUGGAGAAGAACCACGAGCUCAGUGAAGAGGUCGUCGGAGAAGAAGAAAUUGAAGAAAAAAAAAGCGAACAGAGAAAAGAAAAAUUAGAUCAGAGCCGCCAGGUGAGGGAGAGCCGUUCCAAGAGGGCUCCAGGCUGGACUGCCAAUUAUGAUAUGGGCAGAUAAGGGUUAAUUUGCAAUUAGAUCCUUAAGUUUAGAUUAAAUGUGUGAUAUUGUUUGUAUAGUUUUAAUUGGAGAAUUUCUAUUAUACACCCUUAUGUAAUUUACCCUAUAAAAGGGCUCAAUUGUAAAUAUUGUGAGUCAUCUAAUAAAAAAUAAAAUAAAAGUUUCCCCAAAUUCCAUCCUCUCCAUUCCAUAACCGCCGAUAUCCUCCCAACACAUCCGUUCAUCAUCGCAGCCAACCGCCGUCGUGUUCACCGGCCAUCUUCUCCGUUCGUCGCCGGCCAGACUAUAUUCCAACCAGAAACUCUGUUUUUGUUCAUCGCAGUCCAGAAAAUAAACUAUAUUGAAUAGUCCGGCCAGAUCAGUUCAUCUCUGUUUGGGUUAUUCCGGCCAGAAAUUAGCCCUUCAUCAUCACCGUCUACGAUACAGGAUUUGAUCCCGUAUCAACUGGUGCUUUCAAUCUAUUGUUUACUCAUACUUUCAGGAAAAUGACAACUGCUCUACAUAACUUGCCGGAAGGCAUGGAAGUAACUGUCAAGUGACUUCAGACAUUUCAGAUAUCCCAAACAAGUGAACUGUCCGAUCUGAGGAAGUCACUGAAUCACAACGUACUGGAAUUUGGGAAGCAAAUCUCUGAUUUAACUUCACUCAUUACCAACAAGCAAAAGAAUCUACAUAAUAAACAGACAAGCGAAUCAUCUUCUGCCCAAAUGAAUAUGAGCAGUGAACAGGAGGAAAUUACUGUUGAUCCAGAGCGACCUGCUUAUGCUGUGAGUAUGUAUGGUAAUGCAGAUUAUACUCCGUCUAAACACAUCAAGUUUGAUAUGUCUAAGUUUAAUGGGAAGGACCCUGAGGCCUGGAUCUUUAUGGCCCGGAGGUUUUUCAUUUUUCAUAACACCCCUGAAGAUCAGAAACUCAUUAUAGCAUCAUUCAACAUGGUCGAUGUUGCUCUGAAAUGGUUUUUGUGGAUGGAGUCCAGCAACUAUUUAACCACUUGGCCGGCAUUCGUCAAAUCAUUACUAAAAAAAUUCAACCCCACCACUUACACAAUUCCUGGUGGAAAAUUAAGCAAGAUUUCUUAGAUAACUACAGUUGCUGAAUUUGUGACAAGGUUUGAAGACUAUUCUUCAAAAGUGGUUGGAAUUCCUGAUUGGCUACUGUUAGAAAUAUUUAUUUCGGGUUUAAAGGAUGAAUAUUUAACAGAGGUAGUUAAGGCCAAACUUACAGACAUUGAAGAGGCUAUGGAAUUGGCUGUACAUAUGGAAAACCAAGGUUCUGUUGGCUACAAAUCUGGUGGGUAUAGGCCAAGUCCAGGAAGAUCUUUUAUUGGCAAAACUUUGGGAAAUAUGAAUUAUGGCAGCAACCUUGCAAUCACUAAUCAACCUUUUGCAGCAAAUAAAAUAGCCCCAAAUGCACUUGUUUUUAAAAGACUAUCUCCUGCUGAGAGAAGGGAGAGGACUGCCAAAGGUCUCUGUUUCAAUUGUGAAGAAAACUUUACCCCAAGUCACAAAUGUAAGGGCAAGUUAUUCAGAUUUUCGGCAGAAGACAACACAUUAUGAGAACUAGAAGGGGAGGAAGCUGAGAUAGAAUGCUCACAUGAAGAGGAGGAGCAAAUUAUUGUGGAAGGGGAAGCAGAUACUGAAAUCAAUUUACAGGCUUACCAAGGUAAAAUAAGGGUCAGAACUAUUAGGCUCGAAGGCUUCAUAAAAAGCCAAAGUGUAAGCGUAUUGGUAGAUCCAGGGUCCACUCACAACUUCAUGCAAGUGGAUGUGGCUGCAAGACUUCACAUGGUGGUACAAGCAAUUAAUCCAUUCAGAGUUUCCACAGGCAGUGGGGAGAAGUUACUAUGUGAUAAAGUUUGCAAACAAGUUCAGAUCAAGAUCCAAGGAGUAGUAAUUUCUAUUGAUUUGUUUCUAUUACCUAUGGCAGGGUCAAACAUAGUCAUUGGCACCCAAUGACUCAAAGAGUUAGGGGAUGUGAUCUCUAACUAUAAGGAGCUUUGUAUGAAAUUUGAAUGGGAAGGAAAAAGAGUAAUAUGGAGAGGGAUUUCGUGGCUAAAUAGUGAACCACUUACAAGUGGGCAACUAAAUUCAUUACAUGCCUCUACUUCUGAAGCAUACUUAUGUUAUUUUGAAUAUAUUGAAGAACCAAGUAUGAACAGUUUAUCAAUUUCAGAACUGACAGUUGUAAACAAGGUAGUAGAAGUUUUCUCUGAAAUAUUUGAAGAACCUAAAGGGUUGCCACCACAAAGAUCUAUUGAUCACUUUAUACAUUUACAACCUAAUUCCAAUCCUGUAAAUGUAAGGCCAUAUAGAUUUCCCCAAUUUCAGAAAGGGGAGAUUGAGAAGCUAGUUAAAGAAUUAUUAAAUCAAGGAACUGUGAAACCUAGUACCAGUCCUUACUCAUCUCCUGUGUUGCUGGUCAAAAAGAAAGAUGGGGGUUAUAGACUUUGUGUUGACUACAGAGCUUUGAAUGCAAUCACUAUCAAGGACAAAUUUCCAAUCCCUACAGUUGACGAAUUAUUGGGAGAGUUGAAGGGUGCUGUCAUCUUCUCAAAGUUAGAUUUGAGGUCAGGUUUUCACCAGAUAAGAAUAAAUCCCAAAGAUACUGAAAAAACAGCCUUUAGGACGCAUCAGGGACACUAUGAGUUUUUGGUAAUGCCCUUUGGGCUUACAAAUGCUCCAGCCACAUUCCAGGCAGCCAUGAACAGGGUUUUUCAGAGGUAUUUAAGAAAGUUUGUGAUCAUUUUCUUUGAGGAUAUUCUGGUGUAUAGUACUUCUGUUUCAGAUCAUGUUAAACAUCUAGAGCUUAUUUUUGAUCUAAUGAAAGAAAAUCAAUUGUUAGCAAAAAAAUCCAAGUGCUGUUUUGGCCAAGAAACUAUGGGAUUUUUGGGCCACAUUAUUAGCAAGGAUGGGGUAAAUCCUGACCCACCAAAGAUUUCAGCCAUGGUAGAGUGGCCUACACCUAAAAAUCUGAAACAACUAAGAGGAUUCUUAGGCCUUACAGGUUACUACAGAAAAUUCAUCAAAGGGUAUGCUCAGAUUGCUUCAUCCAUGACAGAUUUAUUAAAGAAGGAUUCAUUCUCUUGGUCUGAGUUAGCUACCAAUAGCUUUGACAGCCUAAAGGAGGCCAUGACUAAGGCUCCAGUGCUUAAAUUUCCAGACUUUGAUGAAGUUUUUACUGUGGAAACUGAUGCUUGUAAUACAGGAAUUGGUGCAGUACUUCAACAAGAGGAGCACCCUAUAGCCUUCUAUAGUAAGAAAAUAGGAGGAAGAAUGGCUUCAGCAUCUAUAUAUAUCAAAGAAAUGUUUGCUAUCACGCAAGCUGUGGGUAAAUUGAGGCACUACCUAUUGGGUAAUCAUUUUGUGAUCAAAACAGAUCACAGAAGCUUAAAAAAUCUGUUAACACAAGUGAUUCAGAUACCCGAACAACAGGUUUUCCUUUAUAAAUUGCUGGGCUACGAUUUCACAAUUAUUUACAAACCUGGAAAAGAUAAUAAGGUUGCAGACACUUUGUCCAGAUGUUAUGAUGAAGAAGAAAUUAUAUUCAGCAACAAGGCUGACAACCACAAAGGCUCCUUAUUAGCAUUAACAACUCCUAUUUGUUCCUUAAUAGAAGAGAUGAGAAAGGAAAAUGAAAUAUCACCAGAAACACAACAAUUAAUUGCCAAUAUCAGUUCAGGAUCCAAAAAAACCCAAAACUACACUUUUAAAGAUGGGUUGGUGCUAUACAAGGGCAAGUAUUACUUGAAAAACACUUCUGUUAUAAUUCCAAAAGUAUUGAAAGAAUUCCAUGAUUCACCAUUGGGAGGCCACUCCUGUAUAGAAAGAACUAUCAGAAGAAUUACAACUCAAUUUUGGUGGCAAGGUAUGAGUAAUGAUAUCAGAAUUUAUGUUCAAAACUGUUUAACCUGUCAACAGAUGAAGCCGCUUAAUCAGAAAGCAUUCGAGCUGUUAAUGCCUCUGCCUAUUCCUCCUUCUAUAUGGCACGACUUAUCUGUUGAUUUUAUUACAAAUCUCCCCAAGGUUCAAAACAAAACUGUGAUCAUUGUUGUAGUAGACAGACUAUCUAAAUCUUGUCACUUAGGGGCACUUUCAACAAAUUACACAGCUUACAUGGUGGCUGAAUUCUUGUGUAAGAGGUGAUAAGGUUGCAUGGAUACCCAAACUCAAUAGUUUCUGACAGGGAUAAAGUUUCUCUCAAAAUUCUGGAAAGAGUUAAAUAAGCUUAGUGGGACAACUCUGAAUUUUUCUACUGCUUACCACCCUCAGAGUGAUGGCCAAACUGAGGUUGUUAAUAGAAGUAUCGAGAUGUAUUUAAGAUCUCUAGCCCACGAAGAUCCAAAAAAAUGGCUUUCUCUACUUCCUUGGGCAGAGUUUUGGUUCAAUACCAAUUACAACUCCUCUAUCGGGCAAACACCAUUCCAAAUAUUAUAUGGAAAGGAAGCUCCUAUUUUACCAAACUAUAUUGAAGGUAGUUCUUUUAUUGAUGCUGUGGACAGAGAAUUGAAUGAUAGGGAGUAUGCUUUGGAGACAAUGAAAAACAAUUUAAUCAAAGCCCAAAAACGGAUGAAGACAAAUGCUGAUAAACAUAGACAAGAAAUACAGUUUAAUGUGGAUGAUUGGGUAUUGGUCAAGCUAAAGCGCUACAGACAAUCAUCAGUAGCAGUUCGACUUCAUAACAAAUUAAAUAAGAAAUACUUUGGUCCCUACAAAAUCAAAGAAAAAAUCAGCAGGGUUGCUUACAGAUUAUCUCUGCCUCCGGGAAGUCGAAUCCAUAACACAUUUCAUAUAUCCUUGCUGAAGAAAUUUAUUGGCAGCCCACCUGAAAAUAAAGAUAUGACACCUUUAAUAGCGG